AUGAAGAAGAAGAAACCAUGGAAGAAGCUUGGCAGCCAUGAAACUCAGAGCUUCAAAAGAAUUUUUGAAACUGAUAAAUUGUUGAUUUGGUUUGUUUUGUUGUUACGGGGUUGUGGUCGCUGACAGUUUCAAUUAAAGAUGGGUGUCGGUUGGAAUGGUUGACAGCGUCAUUCACCAAUUCUGAAGUGUGACAGUGAAGAGUGGAACCGGUAGUAUCCCACUUCAUAUUAUAUGAAUGUUGAGUUGAGUGUGAUUAUUUAUAAUAAUGUUUUAAAUUUGAGGGCUUGUUAUUAUGGUUUUAUUGACAGGUAUUCUAUUCCUUACACGCAAUGAACAGCGUCAGAAGGAAGACACCAUCCAAAUUUUAGGUUUGUAAUAAUUUGUAAUUGACUUUUUCACAUGGGCUUUACAUCAUUUUUGUGGGUUUUGUGCCUAAUCACACAAAAAUUAAUCAAACCGAAAUGUUAUUAUUGGUAGAAUUGAUUACGAAUUGAUUUUACUGCGAACCCCAGUCAAAGAAAAUACUGAUUCUCCUUUGAUUUGUAAAAAGAGGCAGACUUAUUUUACAAAAUGAAAUAAAAAUGGAGUGGAUCAAAGAUGGAUGCGGAAAGAAUUGUGAAGGGACAAGGGAGUAGCUGAGCUCACCGAUUCAUUGACUUUAUGUAUGUGUAAAAGAUAGACUGCCGAAAUGGUCAGCUUGGGAGAUUCGUCAAAGCCACAAAACAAACGCAUUCAUGAGGUUUCCCACUGUAGAGGUGGUGGUGUUCUUCUUUUUCAUUUCAUCUGGUACUGGGUCUUACCCAGAAUCACAAGUAAAAAAAAACCUACCAAGUUUGAUAAAUUCAUGUCUCAUUCUGUAAUGUAACUCAUUCCUUGAUCAGGUCUUCCUGGAGAAGGAAUGUUUAUUACUUGAUCAA